rnacentral:rRNA from 1 species
GUCCACGCCCUAAACUAUGUCAACUAGUUGUCGGAUCUGUUUAAGGAUUUGGUAACGAAGCUAACGCAUGAAGUUGACCGCCUGGGAAGUACGGUCGCAAGAUUAAAACUCAAAGGAAUUGACGGGGACCCGCACAAGCGGUGGAUUAUGUGGAUUAAUUCGAUGCAACGCGAAAAACCUUACCUACCCUUGACAUGCUUAAAAUUUUACAGAGAUGUAAAAGUGCCCGAAAGGGAAUUGAGACACAGGUGCUGCAUGGCUGUCGU